AGUGAACGCUGGCGGUAGGCCUAACACAUGCAAGUCGAACGGCAGCACAGUAAGAGCUUGCUCUUACGGGUGGCGAGUGGCGGACGGGUGAGGAAUACAUCGGAAUCUACUUUUUCGUGGGGGAUAACGUAGGGAAACUUACGCUAAUACCGCAUACGACCUACGGGUGAAAGCAGGGGAUCUUCGGACCUUGCGCGAUUGAAUGAGCCGAUGUCGGAUUAGCUAGUUGGCGGGGUAAAGGCCCACCAAGGCGACGAUCCGUAGCUGGUUUGAGAGGAUGAUCAGCCAAACUGGAACUGAGACAAGGUCCCGACUCCUACGGGAGGCAGCAGUGGGGAAUAUUGGACAAUGGGCGCAAGCCUGAUCCAGCCAUACCGCGUGGGUGAAGAAGGCCUUCGGGUUGUAAAGCCCUUUUGUUGGGAAAGAAAAGCAGCAGGUUAAUACCCCGCUGUUCUGACGGUACCCAAAGAAUAAGCACCGGCUAACUUCGUG
rnacentral:rRNA from 1 species